rnacentral:rRNA from 7 species
AAAACGACUCUCGGCAACGGAUAUCUCGGCUCUCGCAUCGAUGAAGAACGUAGCGAAAUGCGAUACUUGGUGUGAAUUGCAGAAUCCCGUGAACCAUCGAGUCUUUGAACGCAAGUUGCGCCCGAAGCCUUUCGGCCGAGGGCACGCCUGCCUGGGUGUCAUGC